GAGUGACUGCAUCUGAGUGGUAGAGUAUCUGCUUUGCAUGCAGAAGGGCCUUGGUUCAAUCCCAGGCAUCUCUG